UACGGAGGGUGCAAGCGUUAUCCGGAUUCACUGGGCGUAAAGGGCGGGUAGGUGGUUGUGUAAGUUGGUUAUGAAAGCUCCUGGCUAAACUGGGAGAGGUUGACCAAGACUGCAGAACUUGAGUGGAGAAGAGGUAAACGGAAUUCCGCGUGUAGUGGUGAAAUGCGUAGAGAUGCGGAAGAACACCAGUGGCGAAGGCGGUUUACUGGUCUCCAACUGACACUGAGCCGCGAAAGCAUGGGUAGCGAACGGG
rnacentral:rRNA from 1 species